UUGUUUAAAAUGUUUACGGGUUUUGUUUA
rnacentral:piRNA from 1 species